GUCGGCCAGACCAUCGCGGCGUUCACCUGAGCUAACAGGUCAGCGCCGAGGAAAGUCCGGGCUCCGCAGGGCAGGAUGGUGGGUAACGCCCACUCGGAGUAAUCCGCAGGCCAGUGCCACAGAAAACAGACCGCCCGGCUGGUCGCCAGACCGGGUAAGGGUGAAACGGUGGUGUAAGAGACCACCAGCACACCGGGUGACCGGUGUGGCUCGGCAAACCCCAUUCGGAGCAAGGUCGAACAGGAUGCGUGACCAGGGCUGCCCGCCCGAGCAUCCGGGUUGACCGCUUGAGGCCCGUGGCAACACGGGACCCAGAUGGAUGAUGGUCCACGACAGAACCCGGCUUACCGGCCGGCCCG
rnacentral:RNase_P_RNA from 1 species